rnacentral:tRNA from 1 species
GCCUCGGUACCGCAGUUGGUACCGCGGACGUCCAAUUAAUGUAAGGUCGUGAUUUCAAUCCUCACCCGGGGCA